GAUGAACGCUGGCGGCGUGCCUAAUACAUGCAAGUCGAGCGAACAGAUGAGGAGCUUGCUCCUCUGACGUUAGCGGCGGACGGGUGAGUAACACGUGGAUAACCUACCUAUAAGACUGGGAUAACUUCGGGAAACCGGAGCUAAUACCGGAUAAUAUAUUGAACCUCAUGGUUCAAUAGUGAAAGACGGUUUUGCUUUCACUUAUAGAUUGAUCCGCGCCGCAUUAGCUAGUUGGUAAGGUAACGGCUUACCAAGGCAACGAUGCGUAGCCGACCUGAGAGGGUGAUCGGCCACACUGGAACUGAGACACGGUCCAGACUCCUACGGGAGGCAGCAGUAGGGAAUCUUCCGCAAUGGGCGAAAGCCUGACGGAGCAACGCCGCGUGAGUGAUGAAGGUCUUCGGAUCGUAAAACUCUGUUAUUAGGGAAGAACAAAUGUGUAAGUAACUAUGCACGUCUUGACAGUACCUAAUCAGAAAGCCACGGCUAACUACGUG
rnacentral:rRNA from 1 species